GGUUGGUAUUGGGAGUUUUGUGGGCACUCUCCGCGGAUGGUGCGCUUUGCGGUGCACUUGUUACCGUCCUUCUUGAAUGGGGCAGGGCAGCUCUUGGCCGAAACAGUCAUGGCGAUGAGGGCCAAGAUGAAGAUGCCACGAACAGCUCAGUUUGGUUUUUAGCCCUUAACCCGCUGCUUAUGCCGGGCGGCUUUUUCCGCCCAGCUGCUGCGGUGGCAACCUCAGACAUUGACUUUGGUAAAAUUGUGGCACGCCAAGCACAUUUUGAAGCUCAUCAGUAAUACAGUUACACAGCGGGCCUCCGGGCGGUGGAGGCGAUGAGGGGGCGAGGCGGAGCACCGCCACCACCGCCGCACUCUGCUGCCGUUAUUACACAAUGAGAAAUAAUGGUGAAACAUAUUAAUAAGAAUACAUAAAUUUUAAUAGUUAAUAAACGCUUCAAGAAAUGUUCGAUUUUCA
rnacentral:sRNA from 1 species